AGUCGAACGCGAAAGGGGGCAACCCCCGGUAGCGUGGCAGACGGGUGAGUAACACGUGGGUAACCUACCCGAAGGUGGGGGAUAACCCUUCGAAAGGAGGGCUAAUACCGCAUGACAUCGCGAGGACCUCGGUCCUUACGAUCAAAGCUGGCCUCUGUUUACAAGCUAGCGCCAACGGAUGGGCCCGCGCCCCAUUAGCUAGUUGGUGAGGUAACGGCUCACCAAGGCGACGAUGGGUAGCCGGCCUGAGAGGGCGAUCGGCCACACUGGAACUGCGACACGGUCCAGACUCCUACGGGAGGCAGCAGUGAGGAAUCUUGCGCAAUGGGCGAAAGCCUGACGCAGCGACGCCGCGUGGAGGAUGAAGGUCUUCGGAUUGUAAACUCCUGUCGAGUGGGACGAAUGCCGCGAGGGUGAACAAUCUUCGCGGUUGACGGUACCGCUGGAGGAAGCCCCGGCUAACUCCGUGCCAGCAGCCGCGGUAAUACGGAGGGGGCUAGCGUUGUUCGGAAUCAUUGGGCGUAAAGGGCGCGUAGGCGGCUGAUCAAGUCGGAGGUGAAAUCCCUCGGCUCAACUGAGGAAUUGCCUUCGAUACUGUUCGGCUUGAGUCCUGGAGAGGGUAGCGGAAUUCCCGGUGUAGCGGUGAAAUGCGUAAAGACCGGGAAAACACCAGUGGCGAAGGCGGCUACCUGGACGGGUACUGACGCUGAAGCGCGAAAGCUA
rnacentral:rRNA from 1 species